GCCCUGGUGGGGCAGUAGUCAAGCACUUGGCUGCUAAUCAAAAGGUUGGUGGUUCAAACCCACCCAGGAGCU
rnacentral:tRNA from 1 species